UGGGGAAUACUGGACAAUGGGCGCAAGCCUGAUCCAGCCAUGCCGCGUGAGUGAAGAAGGCCCUCGGGUUGUAAAGCUCUUUUGUCCGGAAAGAAAAGCAUCGGGUUAAUACCCCGGUGUUCUGACGGUACCGGAAGAAUAAGCACCGGCUAACUUCGUGCCAGCAGCCGCGGUAGUACGAAGGGUGCAAGCGUUACUCGGAAUUACUGGGCGUAAAGCGUGCGUAGGUGGUUGUUUAAGUCUGAUGUGAAAGCCCUGGGCUCAACCUGGGAAUGGCAUUGGAAACUGGGCAGCUAGAGGGCGGUAGAGGGUAGUGGAAUUCCCGGUGUAGCAGUGAAAUGCGUAGAGAUCGGGAGGAACAUCUGUGGCGAAGGCGACUGCCUGGACCAGCACUGACACUGAGGCACGAAAGCGUGGGGAGCAA
rnacentral:rRNA from 1 species